rnacentral:tRNA from 1 species
AAGGCUUUAGCUUAAUUAAAGUAGUUGAGUUGCAUUCAGAGGAUGUGAAUUAAUAUUUCACAAGUCUU